rnacentral:rRNA from 1 species
AGCAGCCGCGGUAAUUCCAGCUCCAAUAGCGUAUAUUAAAGUUGUUGCAGUUAAAAAGCUCGUAGUUGAAUUUCGGGGUUAGUAGGUUGGUCAUGCCUCUGGUACGUACUGGUCUCACUGAUUCCUCCUUCCUGAUGAGCCGUAAUGCCAUUAAUUUGGUGUUGCGGGGAAUUUGGACUGUUACUUUGAAAAAAUUAGAGUGUUUAAAGCAAGCUAACGCUUGAAUACAUUAGCAUGGAAUAAUGAAAUAGGACGUCCGAUCCUAUUUUGUUGGUUUCUAGGAUUGACGUAAUGAUUAAUAGGGAUAGUUGGGGGCAUUAGUAUUCAAUUGUCAGAGGUGAAAUUCUUGGAUUUAUUGAAGACUAACUACUGCGAAAGCAUUUGCCAAGGAUGUUUUCAUUAAUCAAGAACGAAAGUUAGGGGAUCGAAGACGAUCAGAUACCGUCGUAGUCUUAACCAUAAACUAUGCCGACUAGGGAUCGGAUGAUGUUAAUUUUUUAAUGACUCA